UACGUAGGGUGCAAGCGUUAAUCGGAAUUACUGGGCGUAAAGCGUGCGCAGGCGGUUAUGUAAGACAGAUGUGAAAUGCCCGGGCUUAACCUGGGAACUGCAUUUGUGACUGCAUGGCUAGAGUUUGGCAGAGGGGGGUAGAAUUCCACGUGUAGCAGUGAAAUGCGUAGAUAUCGAGAGGAACACCAGUGGCGAAGGCGAGUCCCUGGACAACACCUGACACUGAGGCAAGCGAAAGCUAGGGGAGCAAACAGG
rnacentral:rRNA from 1 species